rnacentral:rRNA from 1 species
AGAGUUUGAUCCUGGCUCAGAGCGAACGCUGGCGGCGUGCUUAACACAUGCAAGUCGAGUGCGCGCCCGCAGCAAUACGGGUGGCGCACGGCGCACGGGUGCGUAACACGUGGGCAAUCUGCCCUCGGAUGGGGGAUAACUCGUCGAAAGGCGAGCUAAUACCGCAUGACAUUCCGAAGACUCCGGUCUUUGGACUCAAAGGCCGCAAGGCCGUCUGAGGAGGAGCCCGCGCCCGAUUAGCUAGUUGGUGAGGUAACGGCUCACCAAGGCUUUGAUCGGUAGCCGGUCUGAGAGGAUGGCCGGCCACACUGGAACUGAGACACGGUCCAGACUCCUACGGGAGGCAGCAGUGGGGAAUAUUGCGCAAUGGGCGAAAGCCUGACGCAGCGACGCCGCGUGGGGGAUGAAGCUUCUCGGAGUGUAAACCCCUUUCGACCCGG